CUCUCCAAGACCACGGACAUUUGUCAUCUCGGCUCCUUUCUCCUGGUGCUUAGUGUUGAGGAGAGCAUCAUCAGCUCCUGGACUGGGAGCCUUUCAGAGACUGUCUAGAAUCGACUCACUCACUGACAGAUGGCAGGCCUAAAAAGGAAGGAACUUCUGAAAUGUGCUACAACACGGAUGAACCUUGAAAACGUUAUGCCAAGUGAAAGAAGCCAGACCCAAAAGGACAAAUACUGAUCUUAGUUCCCUGACCAGGGAUUGAACCCGGGCCCACGGCAGUGAAAGAGUCCUAACCAAUGGAUCGCCAAGGAACUCCUGGAACAGAAUUUCCAACUAGAUCCCACAGAACUCACGCUCCUCCAGCAACGACAGCUGCACACCUCCCCCUUCCACAUUGUCGAGGACCU